rnacentral:rRNA from 1 species
GAUGAACGCUGGCGGCGUGCCUAAUACAUGCAAGUCGAGCGAACAGACGAGGAGCUUGCUCCUCUGACGUUAGCGGCGGACGGGUGAGUAACACGUGGAUAACCUACCUAUAAGACUGGGAUAACUUCGGGAAACCGGAGCUAAUACCGGAUAAUAUAUUGAACCGCAUGGUUCAAUAGUGAAAGACGGUUUUGCUGUCACUUAUAGAUGGAUCCGCGCCGCAUUAGCUAGUUGGUAAGGUAACGGCUUACCAAGGCAACGAUGCGUAGCCGACCUGAGAGGAUGAUCAGCCACACUGGAACUGAGACACGGUCCAGACUCCUACGGGAGGCAGCAGUAGGGAAUAUUGCGCAAUGGGCGAAAGCCUGACGGAGCAACGCCGCGUGAGUGAUGAAGGUCUUCGGAUCGUAAAACUCUGUUAUUAGGGAAGAACAAAUGUGUAAGUAAAUAUGCACGUCUUGACGGUACCUAAUCAGAAAGCCACGGCUAACUACGUG